rnacentral:rRNA from 1 species
UACGGAGGGUGCAAGCGUUAUCCGGAUUUACUGGGUUUAAAGGGUGCGUAGGCGGGCCAUUAAGUCAGUGGUGAAAGCUCCGAGCUUAACUCGGAAAACUGCCAUUGAUACUAUUGGUCUUGAAUUCGGUCGAGGUUGGCGGAAUGUGUGUGUAGCGGUGAAAUGCUUAGAUAUGACACAGAACACCGAUUGCGAAGGCAGCUAGCUAGACCGACAUUGACGCUGAGGCGCGAAAGCGUGGGGAGCGAACAGG